UUUAAUCUGUUUUCUUUGCUCGGUUGGGUUUGCUCCUUGUGCUUGAUCCUGAAAAGAGUUCUGAAGCCACCCCUCUCCUUGCUGGGAUGUUGUUCCCCUGGCUGAACUGCUACUGCAGACUCUUUCAUGGUGUAAGGUUUCGAAUUUGGUCUCUGAAUUUCCAUGGAAUCUUUGUUGCCUUGUGGCACCAGUGCUUCUGUUAGCGUCUUCUUCAACAAUAAUUGCUCAUCGUUGACGCAUAGCACAAGGGCAGUGAAAAUAAGCAAAAAUUUUAUUAUUAUCGAUUAAUGAGGUUGGACUUUUUUACUCAGAAAAUUACUAUUACAUCUCUCAAUUUCUUAAGAAUUUAUUAAUUAAUUUUUAUAAAUUUUCAACUCAAUUAAUUAAUUUUUAUAAUGUAGGAUGGAGCAUGGAAGCAUUACCGUAAGAGAAGCAGAAAGGGAGAAGAGCCUAAAUUAAUUUGUGGUCUAUGUAUUUUUAAUUUUUAUGAAAUGAAAAAGUAGUGAUUAUGGAG
rnacentral:lncRNA from 1 species